rnacentral:rRNA from 1 species
CCUACGGGAGGCUGCAGUGAGGAAUAUUGGUCAAUGGACGAGAGUCUGAACCAGCCAAGUAGCGUGAAGGAUGACUGCCCUAUGGGUUGUAAACUUCUUUUAUAUGGGAAUAAAAUGUUCCACGUGUGGGAUUUUGUAUGUACCAUAUGAAUAAGGAUCGGCUAACUCCGUGCCAGCAGCCGCGGUAAUACGGAGGAUCCGAGCGUUAUCCGGCUUUAUUGGGUUUAAAGGGAGCGUAGGUGGAUUGUUAAGUCAGUUGUGAAAGUUUGCGGCUCAACCGUAAAAUUGCAGUUGAAACUGGCAGUCUUGAGUACAGUAGAGGUGGGCGGAAUUCGUGGUGUAGCGGUGAAAUGCUUAGAUAUCACGAAGAACUCCGAUUGCGAAGGCAGUUCACUGGACUGCAACUGACACUGAGGCUCGAAAGUGUGGGUAUCAAACAGGAUUAGAUACCCUUGUAGUC